CUGCUGCCUUCCGUAGGAGUCUGGUCCGUGUCUCAGUACCAGUGUGGGGGACCUUCCUCUCAGAACCCCUACGCAUCGUCGCCUUGGUGGGCCGUUACCCCGCCAACUAGCUAAUGCGACGCAUGACCAUCCGUAGCCGGAAUCGCUUCCUUUAAACCCGAGGAGAUGCCUCCUCGGGUUGUUACGCGGUAUUAGACGGAAUUUCUUCCGCUUAUCCCCUGCUACGGGCAGGUUUCAUACGUGUUACUCACCCGUGCGCCGGUCGCCGGCGGGAGUUA
rnacentral:rRNA from 1 species